rfam:Candidatus Kaiserbacteria bacterium RIFCSPLOWO2_01_FTLL_53_17 rifcsplowo2_01_scaffold_44568, whole genome shotgun sequence.
CCGCCCAUAGCUUAGUGGUAAAGCAAUCGCCUUUUAAGCGAUCGAUCCUGGUCCGAUUCCAGGUGGGCGGA